CUUGCAGAAACAACACAAAUGUGGCACAUUUGGAGGCCGGCAGCAAGGACAUUACCAUCAUCUCCCAGCCUUUGGAUCAAAGGAGGGGCAAUUUCAACCAAGGCUUGAGCAAAUCAACUCAAAAGGGCGUGCUGUCCUGCUCUUUUGGUUAAAAUCAUAGUUCUUUCCAUCUUUUUGGGCAACAGAGGAAGAAAAAAAAACUUUAUUUUUUUUUUCCAAAAGCAGACCAACAAUCCAAGAAAACUUUGUCUUUUAACAGAGAGUAAAUCAGAAUUUUAAUCUUAUACCAGUGGUUUCGCUGAAGUGAAACCAACCUGAGCAUCUUAUCAGGCAUCUGAGUUAUCACCACUAGUUUGUCACCUUAGCAACAGGAAAGUUCUAGAAGAGCCAGCCUUGUGGUAUCUCCCCACAGAAAGGUUCUGUCUCCCAAAUAGCAGAAGUGCUUCACCCCAACUACGCAGGCAUGGCUUGCAGGGCUCAGGGAUGCCACCAGCCAGCUGUGGCACCAGGGGCGAGUUCCCUGGCCAGCCAGGCCACCCAUAAUGAAGAUCAGAUAGGGUCACUUACGUCAUGAGCAAGGAAAGGGCCUGGCUGUGACAGGCUGUCUUAGGAUUCACCAUUGCCGUCCUGGACUGCUAGGCAUGGAACAUCGUGUGACCAACAUGAAGUUCUUCUCCCAGCCCACUGAUGGAGGGUCACGUUCCCCUCCCACAGACAGCAGGAUCCUGCCAGGAGCCCAGGCUCAGCAGAGACAUCCUCACCAUCCCCCAUGUUAUCACCAUGACAGCUCAGAGAGAGCCCCAGUGACCUGUGUCACAAUAGGAUCUUGUAGACAUGACUGUGACCUCCAAGCCUGGGUCAUAAAAGACAAUCACCCUGCCAGGCUGUCUCUGAGAGCAGCCAGCCACCAUGCCCUGCAGAUGCCCAAGCAGUCCUGUGGAGAGCCAUGUAUGGGAGGAACCAGCCGUGUGAGGGAUUGCCGGGGAAGGGAGUCUUCUGGCCUCAGUCACACCUUCAGAUGAGACCACAGUCCCAAACACCCACCCAACUGCUCCCAAAUUGCUGACCUCCAGAAACCAGGAGAGCUCAUAUGUGUUGAUCGUUAUACGACUGAAUUAUGGACCCAAGACCUCUCUCCCCUGCUGGCUCUCCAAUUCAGUCCGAAGAUGGGGACAGAGACCACGGGAAGGUCACAGCACUUCUAAACCCUCUGGACUGGAAGUGGCACUUGCUGGACCCACUCAUGUUCCACUGAAAUGAAUUACUUUCUUGUGUCAUUUCCACUCACAUCUCUGCCUUUGGAUUCUGUCGGCAUCGAGUGCCCCCACCCGGGGCGCUGUUUGGUGACCCUGGAUUGGAGAUCUUGCCCCCCUUGGCCCUGUCACAGGACACUGAAAGUUGCAGGGGAGAGAUGAGGCCGAGCCCUCCUGGGGAGACCUGGUGCACUGGCAGGGAAGAACCCCGGGCAUCACCUCCCAGGGAGGAAGAAGGGGAGCCCACGCCUGCAGCAGGUGCGGCUGAGCCCCUGACGCCCUGAGAGACUGCACAAGACUGGAGCCAGGGAAGCUCUCAUCCAAGUUGGAAUAUGAAGAGGAGAGUUCCCCUCGGGAUCUUUCUGGAUGCAGAUCCUACAUUGCUGGAGGUUUACCUCAGAAGAAACCCCAAGAAUGGAACUUCUGACUUGUCCUGUAAUGUCCUCCCUGGAGGGAAGGUCUGCAUGAGUGACAAGAUGGUUCUUCCACGUGGCUGUGGGCAGCUGUGGGGCCUCCAGGCAGGUGCUGCUCUGCCCUCAGUGGUGCCCCUGCUCUGCGCCCGUCCUCCCUUCUCCUGGUGUCUGUGAAACAAGCAGAGAAAUGGAAGAGCCGGUGAAACUUGGAAGAAGCCGUGUCCCUUUACGUGUUUGGGACCGUCAGACCUGACGCUCACGGGAUCGCUAUUUGGCCCCAGCAGCCCCCUGAGAUGCAACGCAACGUCCCCGGUCAGCAGGGGCAGCCACUAUAGUCCUCAGUGAUCCAGCCCAGGGCCCAUCAGCGCUGUGGCCGAGACUUGGGCUGCAGAGGCUGGAAUGUGGCCUCUGAACAGCCUGCUGUGCACAGAGAAGGAAGAACAUGAAAACGUGAGCAAUGAAGCCAACAAUAACCCAUCAUUUAAAUCCUGCUUCUCACACUUUGUCUUGGAAACAAAAGUGAUCCAAGGAAUUCAUGCCCAGUCUCCACCCAACAGAACCCUGCUGAGGCAUCGAUGGCCUUGCAGAUCCUCUCCAGCAGGGCCUUCCAGGCUGGUGUGCUUCCUCCACCAGAAAUGUGAAAUCUUCUGUCACCAUAUACAUUUGGGAAAUGCCAGGAGCAUCUCCUCGGGAUUCAGCCCCAAAACGGAUGGGCAUGCGCACUGGGCAGGACCGAGCAGUGGAAGCUGAGUGCCAAUGUGAGUGUAAGUGGUCGGGCCACCUGGCAAGCAUCUGGCAGCUUCCCCUGGAGGGAAGCACUCACCUGGCCUAUUAACCGGGACAAAUGAAAAUACAUGCCCUCCACCCCCGCCAAGGCCACCUGCCCCUGUUUGGACAAUCACCUGUCUGGACAAGGAGGCCAGCACAUCCUGCAUGUUGGUGCGGGGGGGGGGGGACUCAAGCCCCAGAGUGUCAAGGGCACAGUGCUGGCUGCCAUCCGCCUCUGCCCACUGGGAAUGCUCCGGGGAGGGGCCUCUAACCAGACUUGAUAGAACAUAUAGACUGCACACUUUUGUGUGGACUCUUGACACUCAGAACCAUGUCUCAGAGAUUCAUCUGUUUCCUGGCGUGGACCCUUCAUUUUCUGUGGCUGAGUGGUGUUCUACCAUGUGAACACUCCGGGAUUCCUUUGUCUGCUUGGAUGGUUCUUAAUUUGAGGUUACAAUAUAGCUGCUAUGAACAUUC